rnacentral:rRNA from 1 species
AAUAGAUACCCCCGGUAGUCCACGCCGUAAAACGAUGAGUGCUAAGUGUUAGGGGGGUUUCCGCCCCUUAGUGCUGCAGCUAACGCAUUAAGCACUCCGCCUGGGGAGUACGGUCGCAAGACUGAAACUCAAAGGAAUUGACGGGGGCCCGCACAAGCGGUGGAGCAUGUGGUUUAAUUCGAAGCAACGCGAAGAACCUUACCAGGUCUUGACAUCCCAUUGACCACUAUGGAGACAUAGUUUUCCCUUCGGGGACAACGGUGACAGGUGGUGCAUGGUUGUCGUCAGCUCGUGUCGUGAGAUGUUGGGUUAAGUCCCGCAACGAGCGCAACCCUUGUUCUUAGUUGCCAUCAUUUAGUUGGGCACUCUAAGGAGACUGCCGGUGACAAACCGGAGGAAGGUGGGGAUGACGUCAAAUCAUCAUGCCCCUUAUGACCUGGGCUACACACGUGCUACAAUGGACGGUACAAACGGUUGCCAACCCGCGAGGGGGAGCUAAUCCGAUAAAACCGUUCUCAGUUCGGAUUGUAGGCUGCAACUCGCCUACAUGAAGCC